GUCUCGGGUGUGUGAUGGCGGCUGCAAUCUGUCUUGUGGGUAUUAAUGCGGUCUUCACUGGUGGCGACUGUCAUCCAGCUGUUCUGCAAAACUGGAGCUUGCUGGCUUGAAAACACCUUGCCCAGUUUUGAUCCCUUCAAGACUUCAUAACAGCCUCUAUCACACAUCUGUUUUCCUCAAAGAAAAAAAAAUAUAUAAUAAAAUGUGUUUUACUCUUUUACACUGUAUAAUUUUAAGAAAUGUGUUAUUUGUGAAUGCAUGGUCUGACAUUUCUGUACAGUUUGGAGACAUGAGCAGUAAAGCCAGAACGGUUAGUAUUUUUAUAACAGACAUUUUAAGAGUGGACAGAUGGAUCCUUUACACUAGGCUACAUCACGACUUUUGUUUGAUUUUUGAAUGCUUUUAAUGGUGUUUAUCUUAUUUUUCUUCUGAAAUAAGAUGCAUGUUUGAAACAUAUCUCUAAAUAGCAUCCAAGUUUCCACAAUUGUGUUGUGAAUGUGUGGACUCCCUCUGCCUGGCCCAGAGUCAGCCCCAUUAGUAGCUGGGUGUAGAAAUGAGCUUCUGCAGUAUUAGCUCUGUAAUCCUGGCUCCCAGGGAUCUCCCUGCAAGACAAUCAGUGCCCCAAAGCAUCUGCCAUUGUAGUGUAUAAACCACUGGGCAAAGACUACUUAGGUAAUGUCUCUGAAAACCAUGGCCACUCUGGCUGUGACUAUACAAACUGUGCCCGGGGACAUAUUGACAUUCUAUGCUUAGUGUCGUUUAGGAUAGCACCCUCAGAGUGUGCAACUUCACCCACCUUCCAGAAACUGUUCCCAGUUCCCCAGUGGAACGAACUGCAAGGUCCACCUUCCAUUUAUGUGGUUGGCCUUUAGUUUGGAGGCAAACAUGCCUCAGGCUUUGCCCACUCAGCCUGCGCUGGGCAUCACAUCUCUCAAGUGGGUCAGCAGAGCGUUGGCCUGCCUGAGUAGCUAGCUGUUCUGGUCUGGCAGCCAUGUCAGACAGACCAUCCAUCACAUUCUCUGGAACGCUACAUGCUCAUCUUGAGACUACCUACUACAUUGCAGUGUGGGGCAUGAAACUUGGCCAUGUGCGAUGAACACUGUUACCCUUGCUUCAAGACCUCUUCAAAGCCCAAAGUUAGUCUUGUGUUGUGUGCCAACACAUUUCCAGAGGCUGUGAUGGCACAGUCUUCCCGCUCCUCAAACGAGCCAUGCAUACUAUGUUGACCUCAGAAUUUCCAGCUGCUGAUACUACUAGACAUAAUCACAAUCUUUGUAUCUUUGUUAUUGAUCUGCUUGUAUUGUGUUGAAAAUGUCAUAUUUUAAUGAAUAUUUCGGUGGUUUGGGAGGGUUAUUUCAUUAUUUUUCAUGAGAAGUAAAAAAUGUCAAGUUUUUAAAGGUUAUUAAAAAGAGGAACACCAAGGCCUGUAGUAAGGGCCUUUUCUCUGUAAACUAGAGGCCGGGACAGGCAGCACUGGGGAAUUGGCAUCCAGGUGGUGUUCCGUGCCACUUGACUGUAAGACUCCUCUCCUUGCUUUAAAGAGAGCGAGCCACUCAUCAUCGAUUAUGCUUUUAUAAUUGUGUAAAGGUACUUUUGUAUUGUCAUUUUUUUAAAAGAUAAUAAAAGUUUAUUCCAGCCAUUA